CAGGGAGACUGGACUGUAGGGUAAUGACCUAUGAAUUGACAGCCAGUGACUGGCAUUGGCCUGCCUGUCAGUUCUGUAGGCCACUGUCCUGCUUGCUCCACCAGCACA
rnacentral:pre_miRNA from 14 species